ACCCCCAAUCAAUCUCAAGGAAGCUCUUUGGGAGCCAGGAUUCCCAGCACUUAGCUGGUGGGCAAAGGGGUUCAACCCCUUCCCCACACCCCACCUUCCCUCCUCCCAGUCUUCGGGAUUGCGGAGCUCCUGCCGGGAUCCAAGAGCAGGCUCUUGGAGGUCGAAGAAGGAUAUAACCUCCAGACCUGGAAUUUAAGACGCAAGAACCAGCCAGCAAAAGUGGCAGCCGAGCAUGCGAGGGACUGCUGAUGGCUUUUUAUUAGGAAGCUAUGCAACUUGAGGUUCUACUGAAAAGGAGAAGAGGCCACUGGAGAUGGGAAGCCACGAAAACAUGAAGAUGUAGAAGUCUCAGCUCCUUCAAUGCUAUGUCUGCCAAGAUGCUGCCACACUCCCUUCUUGAUGAUAAUGGACUGAACCUCUGAACCUUAUAUGAAACAUAGUAGACGUGUAAUAAAUGACCGUCCCCUGAGAUGCUCUAGGAUGCUCCAAAAAGGACCUAUUGGGAAACAAAGGCUGGGCAACCUCAGUUGUCUGAGAAGAGCAGGAGGACUGAAUCUGGCAAGAGGCAGGGACGAGAAACUACAGCAUUACUUCUGCAGAUUCACAAAGGAGUCCACGUUCCAAGAUGAGAGAAAUACCAGAAGCCGAUGGCUAUUCUACUUGACUGAAUGAAAAGAAAAGGAAGGCACUUCCUGUCAAUCCUGCUUUGGAUUCCUAGACAGUUUAAGAAGCACCAUUGAUCUGAUCAUUGGCACUGAGGAGGAAAUGCCCAUCCGCAGAAGACAUGCAGGGCUCAACCCAGCUUGACAUGGGCAGUGAGUGGUUUCUGAUGUAACCCUUUCUGUAAACUACCCCCUCACACACAUGUAAACCCCUGCUUCCUCCUUUAAGUAGCCACAUUGGUGGUGCCUCUGUUGUAAGGUUACAGGGGAGAAUGACUAGACAGUAGUGAGGAAAGCAUUUGGGAAGGUGAUUCGUUUCUGUUUUUCUGGUACUCUCCCAAAACAGGAGAUACUCUUGUUGCAUAGAUGCAGUCAGUGGUUUCUUGCAGUCAGUGGUUUCUUGGAUUUGGGGAGUUAAAAGUCAUGUGACACAGGCCUAUUGACACAUCGAUGUGAGGAGUUUAAGGUAAUGCUGCUGUGAUUGAGAAGAAUCGCCCCAGUAAAGCUUUAGCAUGAAGCCAAGCAGCUUAUAAUGACACAGGAUUCUCAAUGAAUGAAGUUUUAAGGGAUAAAAUCUUUACAAUGAAAUAAAAACAAUCUUAAGAAAACGAUUAGGCUCUAGUAAAAAUAAGCUGUGUUUUAAGAGUGGUUUCUAUAUUCAGCGUUAUUAUCCUUCACUUAUACUCAGAUAAAUAUGUUAUGCUCAAGCUGGCUCAUAGUCUUCAGAAAUAAGAAUGGACAUUAUACUUUGAUGUAAUAUCAACAUGUUGCAUAUACAAAGUAAACACUUUUGGUGAUAAAAAAUA
rnacentral:lncRNA from 1 species